CCCCUGUGAUAGCGAAAAACACGGUACCACACCGCACCACCCUUACUACCUUCGCCUAAAAACAUUCGCUUGCCGCCUUUCGCAGUAACCAACCGUCUCUCACUAGCUGAACUCUCUACGAGCUCACCCGUACCGUGGUGUACCAUACCCAAUCAAGAAUGUCCUGGAAAGGAUAUUAAUAUCACGUAUUCAUUUUCAAAAUCUUAUUAAGAUAAAGAAUCUUUUCUCUUAAGAAGAAAGUCCUUCCAACUUAUGUUCAUAGUAGCUGAACGCGAAGUAAGUGCUAACAGUACAGAUGGAUUACCAUCAAAAUCCCACAGAUAGUGCAAAGUGUCAUUGGG